AGCGGAUCGGGUCGGGGGUCGUGCACCAGGGCCAUCUUUACGUUUCCAACGCCACGGGCAUCGCGGAAUGCAUUGACGUGAAGACCGGCGAAACCGUCUGGAAAGAGCGGCUGGGGGGGAACCUGUGGGGCUCGGUGCUGCGCGCGGGAGACCGCUUGUACGUCAGCAACACGCAGGGAGAGAUCUUCGUGCUGGCGGCCAGUCCGCAGUUUCAACUGAUCGCCAGAAAUGACAUGCAGGA
rnacentral:misc_RNA from 1 species